CGUUGGCGCGUGCGGUCGAAGACGAUGUGCUGCUGGUUCAUACGUGGGAGGGCCGGCCGCUCCCGCGCGAGCACGGCGGUCCCUGCCGCGUGAUCACGCCCAAGCUGUACGCCUGGAAAGGCGCCAAGUGGAUUCGGAAGAUCGAGUUCCUGGCCGAAGACCACAAAGGCUUCUGGGAAGUGCGCGGAUACUCGAACACCGCGGAACCCUGGUUCAACGAUCGCUAUUCGACAUGAUCGAACCAAUGCUGGCGUCGCUGGUCGAUGCACCUCUCAACGAUCCGCAACUGAUCUACGAACCCAAGUACGACGGCAUACGCGCCAUCGCCGAGAUCGAACCUCGAGGCGCCGUGCGCCUCUGGUCGCGUCUCGGGAAUGAAAAGACCGCGCAGUUUCCGGAGAUCGUCGCAGCCCUUAAAGAGUGGGCGCAGGGCCUGAAAGCGCCGCUCGUCAUCGACGGUGAAAUCGUCGCGCUGGACGGCAAGGGCAACCCGAGCGGAUUUCAACAACUCCAGGGCCGCAUCCACCUGACCGAAAAGCCUGCGGCCAACACAUCGUUGGCGCGAACAGCGUUCAUCGCCUUCGAUGCGUUGCGCGAGGGCCGCACCGAUCUGCGCGAACGUCCGCUUACCGAGCGCCGCGCGGCUUUGGAGCGUAUUUUCGCCAGCGCGCAGUCGUCCAUGUUGCGGAUCAGCGAAAGCGUCAGAGGUGAUGGCCAAAACCUGUAUAAGCGGGCUCUCGCCGAGGGCUGGGAAGGGCUGAUCGCGAAACAGGCCGACUCCCGGUAUCGAUCGGGCAAGCGGUCGCCGGACUGGCGCAAAGUAAAGAUCGUUCGCGAGCAGGAGUUCGUCAUCGGCGGAUGGACCGAGCCCCGCCAGACGCGGUCCUACUUCGGCGCUCUGCUGCUUGGCGUAUACGGAGACGGCUCGAGCCUCAGAGAUGAGCUCGUCUACGUGGGUCAUGUCGGCACUGGCUUUAACGAGAAGGAGCUCGCGCGAUUGAUGAAGCUCCUCAAACCAAUCGAGACGGCCCAAUGCCCGUUUCGCGAUCCUCCGAAGUCGAACGAGCGCCCGCACUGGGUGAAGCCGGCCCUGGUCGCUCAAGUCAAAUUCACAGAAUGGACGUCCGACGGCCGUCUGCGUCAUCCGGUGUAUCUCGGCCUCAGGGACGACAAGAAAGCGGAAGACGUGCGUCGAGAGCCCGAGAUCUCGAGAGUACGAUCAUCACCCUCGAGGAAGUCGGUUCGAAAUGCCCCGAACAGUGCCCGCGUGGCGACAGGUCCUGGCGCCGCCGAAUCGCGAAACGUCCGACGGCGUACGGUGCAACCGUCGGGGCCCGGUGGACCGACGCCGGACGCGAUCGCCAAGAUGCUCGAUCAGCUUCGUGCGCUCGAGACCAGCCGUCGCGACGGCAGCCUCGAGCUUCCUGACGGCGAUCGGCUGAGCGUCACGAACCUGCACAAGGUGUUCUGGCCGAAACAGAAGCUCACCAAAGGGGACCUCCUGCGUUAUUACGUCCAGGCCUCCCCUUUCAUCCUUCCGGCCGUUCAGGAUCGGCCGCUGACGAUGAAGCGGUUGCCCAACGGCAUUACAGGAAAGACGUUCUAUCAACAUCGAGCGCCGGACGAGGUGCCGGCGAACGUCCGGGUGGAACCUGUCCCCGGCGAAAAGACGGUCCCCACGCGGCUCAUCGGCGGGAACUUGAAGACGUUGCUGUACAUGACGCAGCUCGCGGCCAUCUCCCAGGAUCCCUGGUUUUCCCGGAUCACGUCUCCCUACGCCGCCGACCACGUCGCGUUCGAUCUCGAUCCUGCAACGGGUGUGCGCUUUGAACGGGUGCUCGACGUCGCGCGUUGGAUCCGGGAUGAACUUCAGACUGUCGGGGCAGUCGGUUUCCCGAAAACGUCUGGUGCCGAUGGCCUUCACGUCUACAUUCCACUCCCUCCAGACACACCUUACGAGGCCGGCCUGAUCUUCUGUCAGAUCAUCGCCACCAUCGUCGUGCAGAAGCACCCAAAGAUCGCGACGAUCGAAAGAAGCGUGAAGGCGCGAGGCCAGCGCGUGUACAUCGACUGUCUGCAGAACAUCGCCGGCAAAACGCUGGCGAUGGCCUACAGCGCGCGUGCCAGCACGUAUGCCGGCGUUUCCACGCCUCUGAGCUGGGAUGAAGUUGAACAGGGUGUUCGACGCGAAGACUUCACGAUCGAAACGAUGCCUGAGCGCCUCAAGAAGGUCGGAGACCUAUGGAAAGGCCUCCGAACAUCGAAGGGGAUCGACCUCUCUCGUGUGACGGCGUUCACGACGGACAAAGGGAGAAAAGGGCGGACGAGAUAAGGAAUUCCAGGGUUCGAAGACCUCUGGUUAGGCGCGCCACGGGCGCGCCCGCCGGAGCGGAGCAGGGUGUUGGGGCCCCUGCGAGCGACGGCGUAGGGGGGUCCGCGGGGGCGAAGCCCCCCGGAUCUUAUAAGUCGAACUUCAGGACGACAAUCGUCGAAUCGUCAGGCAGCGGGCCAUUCGCCCGUCGCGACACUUCGUCCAGCAGGUCAUUGCAGAUGUCGGCAGCGCUCUUGUCCCACAGCCGACGUGCCAUCUCCUGUAUACCCCCGACGUCGAAGAACUCCUCGGGCGUCGGGCCGACAUCCGUGACGCCGUCCGUAAACAGCACCAGGCCGUCGCCGCGGCCGAAUACGGCGUAGGCUUCGCGCAUCGGCGUCACGUUCGGAAAUCCCAAAACCGACCCGGUGACGGCCAGCGUCUCACACUCUCCAUUCGCGCGCAUGAGCAAAGGCGGUGGAUGACCGGCGUUGGCAUACACCAUACGCCGUUCGCUGACGUCAACGAUGCCGUAGAACGCCGUGA
rnacentral:misc_RNA from 1 species